rnacentral:rRNA from 1 species
GAUGAAAGAUGGCGGCGUGCCUAAUACAUGCAAGUCGAGCGAACAGACGAGGAGCUUGCUCCUCUGACGUUAGCGGCGGACGGGUGAGUAACACGUGGAUAACCUACCUAUAAGACUGGGAUAACUUCGGGAAACCGGAGCUAAUACCGGAUAAUAUAUUGAACCGCAUGGUUCAAUAGUGAAAGACGGUUUUGCUGUCACUUAUAGAUGGAUCCGCGCCGCAUUAGCUAGUUGGUAAGGUAACGGCUUACCAAGGCAACGAUGCGUAGCCGACCUGAGAGGGUGAUCGGCCACACUGGAACUGAGACACGGUCCAGACUCCUACGGGAGGCAGCAGUAGGGAAUCUUCCGCAAUGGGCGAAAGCCUGACGGAGCAACGCCGCGUGAGUGAUGAAGGUCUUCGGAUCGUAAAACUCUGUUAUUAGGGAAGAACAAAUGUGUAAGUAACUAUGCACGUCUUGACGGUACCUAAUCAGAAAGCCACGGCUAACUACGUG